rnacentral:rRNA from 1 species
AUUGAACGCUGGCGGCAGGCCUAACACAUGCAAGUCGAGCGGCAGCGGGAAAGUAGCUUGCUACUUUUGCCGGCGAGCGGCGGACGGGUGAGUAAUGCCUGGGGAUCCGCCCAGUCGAGGGGGAUAACUACUGGAAACGGUAGCUAAUACCGCAUACGCCCUACGGGGGAAAGCAGGGGACCUUCGGGCCUUGCGCGACUGGAUGAACCCAGGUGGGAUUAGCUAGUUGGUGAGGUAAUGGCUCACCAAGGCGACGAUCCCUAGCUGGUCUGAGAGGAUGACCAGCCACACUGGAACUGAGACACGGUCCAGACUCCUACGGGAGGCAGCAGUGGGGGAUAUUGCACAAUGGGGGAAACCCUGAUGCAGCCAUGCCGCGUGUGUGAAGAAGGCCUUCGGGUUGUAAAGCACUUUCAGCGAGGAGGAAAGGUUGGUAGCUAAUAACUGCCAGCUGUGACGUUACUCGCAGAAGAAGCACCGGCUAACUCCGUGCCAGCCGCCGCAGUAACAC